GAUGAAGAACGUAGCGAAAUGCGAUAAUUAAUGUGAAUUGCAGAAUUCCGUGAAUCAUCGAGUCUUUGAACGCACAUUGCGCCCCCUGGUAUUCCGGGGGGCAUGCCUGUCCGAGCGUCAUUGCUGCCCUCAAGCACGGCUUGUGUGUUGGGCCUCCGUCCUCCUCCCGGGGGACGGGCCCGAAAGGCAGCGGCGGCACCGCGUCCGGUCCUCGAGCGUGUGGGGCUUCGUCACCCGCUCUUGUAGGCCCGGCCGGCGCUUGCCGACACAUCAAUCUUUUUUCCAGGUUGACCUCGGAUCAGGUAGGGAUACCCGCUGAACUUAAGCAUAUCAAUAAGCGGAGGA
rnacentral:misc_RNA from 1 species